UAUUCCACAGGUUUGUUUACAUAUUAGAGGUGUAGCAAACAGAUCUUGGUUUUGUAGGAAAGGGUGCCCUCUUCUGGAAAUAUGUCCAAUGUUGUAGAAGAUUUCUUGUGGAAGAUUUCUUAUGGAAAAUGUAUACUUUUUUUUUUUUUUUUUAGGAUUUUAUUAAUUUGAGAGAGGGAGAGAGAACAUGAGGGGCUAAGGGAGAGGGAGAAGCAGACUCUUCGCUGAGCAGGGAGCCUGAAGUGGGGACCAUGGGCUCCAUCCAAGGACCCAGAAUCCCAGGACUGCGACUCAACUGAGCCAUCAGGAGCCCCCAAAAUGUAGACUUUUAAAAAUACCAGAAACUCCUAGAAUAGCAUCACUAAGAGGUACUUUGUGAGAUGUUUUAUGACUAUUCUUAGUCAGUCUGAAGUCAUUUAUUUUUAGAAAUCUCUAGGGAAGCAUUUUUUUCAGGAUUUUAUUUAUUUAUUCAUGAGAGACACACAGAGAGAGGCAGAGACACAGGCAGAGGGAGAAGCAGGCUCCUUGAGGGGAUCAUGAGGGGGACUUGAUCCCAGGACCCGGAAUCUGGGAUCAUGCCCUGAGCCGAAGGCACGCUCAACUGCUGAGCUACCCGGGUGUCCCUAUAUCCUAAUUUCUAUUUCUUAUCUGUAUACAAAGUCCCUUGGACCCCUCUCUUGGAAGAUUUAAGGCACAGCUACAGAAUUGCUCAGCCUGAGAUGCCUCCCCUGGUCUGUAACACACCACAGGCUUUUUUGGCAGCUUGAAGGUAGAGCCAGUUACGAAAGCUGCCAGGGCGAUUCCAGAAGCUAACCCCACCCUGACUCAGCUCCGAGCCCCACAGAUCUGCUAUCUCUCACUUCAAGACAGGCACCGGCAAGCGUCUUCCCAUGGGGUGAUUUCCAACAAGGUGACAAAACUGGAGGUCAAUCACUCCAGCUGUAUUUAGGGACAAACCAACCAACUCAUUAAUAAAAUGGUUCUGUGAUACUAGACUAUGAACUCC
rnacentral:lncRNA from 12 species